UUGGGUUUAAGAUAAACGUAUUUGAAUCUACUACUCCAUUCAUCCAAGUCCCCUGGAAUAAGGAAGGGCUGUCAGUGGAUUCGAUGGACAAAAUUCCAAAGAUGAGAAUCACAGAAGAAAAUGUACUCAGCAACACAAACCCUUGUUCCAUUGGCCUUGAGGACCUUUUACCGUGGGAAACAGUUCAUAUAGGUUGCCACAAUGUCACCAUAUGUUCCAUAUAUCGUGUGUUCAAAAGUGGUUAAUGGGGCAUAAAUCUUGCCCAUUAUGCAGGAGAAAUUUUGACUAGUUUCCAUUCAGAUUGUUUGUACGAACGGUGGAGCUCCCAAUUUAUUUAUUUUUACAUUUAGACCA